rnacentral:rRNA from 1 species
UGGGGAAUAUUGGACAAUGGGGGCAACCCUGAUCCAGCCAUGCCGCGUGAGUGAUGAAGGCCUUCGGGUUGUAAAGCUCUUUUGGCGGGGACGAUGAUGACGGUACCCGCAGAAUAAGCCCCGGCUAACUUCGUGCCAGCAGCCGCGGUAAGACGAAGGGGGCUAGCGUUGUUCGGAAUUACUGGGCGUAAAGCGAGUGUAGGCGGUUGCCGUAGUCAGGUGUGAAAGCCUUGAGCUCAACUCAAGAAAUGCACUUGAUACUGGGUGACUAGAGGACCGGAGAGGAUAGUGGAAUUCCCAGUGUAGUGGUGAAAUACGUAGAGAUUGGGAAGAACACCAGUGGCGAAGGCGGCUAUCUGGACGGUUACUGACGCUAAGACUCGAAAGCGUGGGGAGCAAAACAGGAUUAGAUACCCUGGUAGUCCACGCCGUAAACGAUGGGUGCUAGACGUUGGCGAGCUUGCUCGUCAGUGUCGCAGCUAACGCGUUAAGCACCCCGCCUGGGGAGUACGGCCGCAAGGUUGAAACUCAAAUGAAUUGACGGGGUCAUAGCUGUUUCCU